rnacentral:rRNA from 1 species
AGGGCACCACCAGGAGUGGAGCCUGCGGCUUAAUUUGACUCAACACGGGAAAACUCACCCGGCCCGGACACUGGAAGGAUUGACAGAUUGAGAGCUCUUUCUUGAUUCAGUGGGUGGUGGUGCAUGGCCGUUCUUAGUUGGUGGAGUGAUUUGUCUGGUUAAUUCCGAUAACGAACGAGACUCUAGCCUACUAAAUAGAUCGUCGGCUUACAAACGCCGGCGAGACUUCUUAGAGGGACAGGCGGCGAUUCAGCCGCACGAAACAGAGCAAUAACAGGUCUGUGAUGCCCUUAGAUGUCCGGGGCCGCACGCGCGCUACACUGAAGUGAUCAGCGUGCUUUUUCAACCUACUCUGUCAAGAGUGGGGAACCCAAUGAACCUUCUUCGUGAUUGGGAUAGGGGAUUGUAAUUAUUCCCCUUGAACGAGGAAUUCCCAGUAAGCGCGAGUCAUAAGCUCGCGUUGAUUACGUCCCUGCCCUUUGUACACACCGCCCGUCGCUACUACCGAUUGAAUGUUUU